rnacentral:rRNA from 1 species
GAUGAACGCUGGCGGCGUGCCUAACACAUGCAAGUCGAACGAAGCGCCUUACCUUAUUCUUCGGAUGAGAGUUUGGUUGCUGAGUGGCGGACGGGUGAGUAACGCUUGGGUAACCUGCCCUGUACAGGGGGAUAACAGCUUGAAACGGCUGCUAAUACCGCAUAAGCGCACGCGGAGACAUGUCCUUGUGUGUCACACUCCGGUGGUACAGCAUGGGACCGCGUCUGAUUGUCUGGUUGGGAUGGUAACGGCCUACCAAGGCAAGGAUCAGUAGCCGGUCUCAGAGAAUGAGCCGACACAUUGGAACUAGGACGCAGUCCAAACUCCUACGGGAGGGAGCAGUGGGGAAUAGUGCACAAUGGCGGAAAUGCUGAUGCAGCAACGCCUGUAGAGUGAAGAAGUAUUUCGGGAUGUAAAGCUCUAUGAGCAGGGAAGAUAGUGACGGUACCGGACGAAGAAGCACCGGCUAAAUACGUG